CUUUAAUAAUAUGAGGGUAGAAU
rnacentral:piRNA from 1 species